AACUGAUACUACCUGCGGGAACCUGCGGAAGGAUCAUUAAAAAAGGGUCUUUCGACCCAUUUUUUUUAAAAACUCACUACCAGUUCUCUGGAAGUGGGUUUUUUUCAAACACCAAAAAUUUUAAACUAUUCGUCUUUUGACGAAACUUAAAAAUUAAUAAAUAAAACUUUUAACAAUGGAUCUCU
rnacentral:misc_RNA from 1 species